rnacentral:rRNA from 1 species
CAGUCGCCACGGUAAUACGAAGGGUGCAAGCGUUACUCGGAAUUACUGGGCGUAAAGCGUGCGUAGGUGGUGGUUUAAGUCCGUUGUAAAAGCCCUGGGCUCAACCUGGGAAUUGCAGUGGAUACUGGGUCACUAGAGUGUGGUAGAGGAUAGUGGAAUUUCCGGUGUAGCAGUGAAAUGCGUAGAGAUCGGAAGGAACAUCUGUGGCGAAGGCGACUAUCUGGGCCAACACUGACACUGAGGCACGAAAGCGUGGGGAGCAAACAGGAUUAGAUACCCCCGUAGUCCCUGUCUCUUAUAC